GGAGUAUUCAAGAUGACCGCUCUUUUUUACGAAGAGAGGAAAGUCCGGGCUCCAAAGGGCAGGACGCUGGGUAACCCCCAGUUGGUGCGAACCAAAGGAAAGUGCCACAGAAAAAAACCGCCUGAUUUUCAGGUAAGGGUGAAAAGGUGGGGUAAGAGCCCACCGGGUGAAGAGUAAUUUUCACGCCAGGCAAACCCCGUCCGGAGCAAGGCCGAAUAGGGGGGGAUGAGGCUGCCCGCCGACCCCCGGGUACGGCCGCACGAAAUCCGCCGCGAGGCGGAUUCAAGAGAAAUGGUCAUCCAUCGACAGAACCCGGCUUAUUGAAUGCUCCCGUA
rnacentral:RNase_P_RNA from 1 species